GAGAGAAAAUCGGGAAGACAAUGAUACUGCGAUUGACACUUACUCUGGGAUUGCUAUAUACGGCAGCGUUGCGUUCACCAGGGCAACCUGCAACCUAGUGGGUUACCAGCACGCUUUUGAUAACGUGCUGAAGUUCAGUUGCAAGAUGUUGCACGAUACUGCAAGAGACUUUCACGUGCCAGGGGACGAGCGACGACGACGCUGCAGCAGAGAUUAGUUACGUGGGAAUUGGGUUCGGAUCCAGUAAUUAGGUAUGGACGUGGGAUCAUUCUGAUUAUGAGAGCAUGUACUUAUCAUUUUUAUCUUACUUAGUGUUAUUUAAUCCCUUUAAUUCAUUGGUUUUUUUUGAAUGCUUAAACUUCAUUUACUGAUUACUUCGUCGUUGCUUUAAGCAAAUAGGUGAAAUUAAUGUGAACUUUAUCCAAAAUACAAAAAAAUUAUUAUAUUAUAUGUGUAUGGUUUGAACUGCUUGCUAAUUUUCAACUUUCUUUUUUAACACCAAAACGAUCGAAGCAGCUUAAAUCUACCUUGGCUAUGAAUAGAUAGGAACGUAGAUAAAGGAUGAAAAAAGGGAUAUACUAUAAUGACAAAUUUAGGGUGAAUAUCAGGCAAUUUAUUGAGUUCGAUAAACCUGUGAUUGAUCCUUUCGAACUUCUUCGCUAAUGUUUCAUUCUGUUUCUUUUUUGUGUGUGAAAUUUUGA